CCCUUAGAUGUUCUGGGCCGCACGCGCGCUACACUGACGGAGGCAGCGAGCGUGUCCUUCGCCGGCAGGUGCGGGCAAUCUUGCGAGUCUCCGUCGUGCUGGGGAUAGAUGGUUGCAAUUGUCGAUCUUGAACGAGGAAUUCCUAGUAAGCGCGAGUCAUCAGUUCGCGCUGAUUACGUCCCUGCCCUUUGUACACACCGCCCGUCGCUACUACAGAGUGCCCGUGUCCAAGAAACGGUCGGACCUGUGCGGCCUCUCCGGGCGACCGGAGGGCCGUUACGGGGAAGACCCUUUAUUUGACGCGGGUCGAUGAAGUAAAAGUCGUAACA
rnacentral:rRNA from 1 species